GGUGAGAUGGCCGAGUGGUCUAAGGCGCCAGACUAAGGAGCUGCUUCAAUUCUGCAAACAUCUCACGCAAUCUGGUCCGAAAGGGCGGGGGUUCGAAUCCCCCUCUCAUCA